rnacentral:rRNA from 1 species
UACGUAGGGGGCAAGCGUUGUUCGGAAUUACUGGGCGUAAAGGGCGCGUAGGCGGCACGGCAAGUCAGGAGUGAAAGCCCUGGGCUCAACCCGGGAACUGCUUUUGAAACUGCUGAGCUAGAGUGCGGAAGGGGCAACUGGAAUUCCUAGUGUAGCGGUGAAAUGCGUAGAGAUUAGGAAGAACACCAGUGGCGAAGGCGACUUACUGGACUGUAACUGACGCUGAGGCAUGAAAGCGUGGGGAGCAAACAGG